CGCGCACACACACAGCACUACCCCCUCUCCUCCCCCACCCCCCCGCUUCUUGGCGUUGCCGGGUGCAGGAGUCUGAAUUAAGCUAGACCCAUCUUUCAGACCCCGUCCUGCCCCCUCAGAGCCAGGACUCCCUCCCCCGCCUCCCCUUCCUCUCCCGGUUUAUUGCUCAGCAUCCCCUCCCCUGCGCGACCCCUCCCUCCCCCCCGCGCCCAAGCCGCGAUCGCAGUGGGGUGGGCUUUCAGGGGUGCGGGUCCGGAGGUGGCAAACGUGAAGCCGGUGGCGGUCCCUCCCUUUACGAGUUCCGCCCUCCUCCUUUCCUCCUCCCCCAGCCACCGAGCCUUCUCCGCCCGCUCGCGCCGAAGGCGGCAGGAGGGGUUAAGGGCUCGGGGCGUCACGUGGGACGUUCACCAAACCACUCAGAGGAGCGUGUGAGUGAACGGCCCGGCCGCCGAGCCGCGAGGCCGCGGCGCGACGGGUGUCUCUGCUGCUAGCGUCAUUAUGCUCGUCUUCCCGGCUCUUCGCCUUGGCAGAGGCAGAGGAGGCUCCCGGCCGCGGCGUGGGUUGUAGCCCCGAUUGUGGGCUAGUGUAGAUGAAAUGCCACUACCGUUGGCCUCGUGCUCCUGGCUGUUCCCGCAUCUUCUGCCACUGGAUAGGUGAUUUUUAAAAAAUUCAUCAUAGCUCAUCAGUGUUGGCUUUUGUGACGGGUGUGACUCAGUAUACCACCUUGUUUACACCAACCACCUCCCACCAGCUACUCCAUGUGAAUUGGUCAAGGCUAGUGAGUUGGGGAACAGGGCCCUGACAACAGAAACAGUAAAUUAAUCGAUGCUAUUGUGUAAUAAUACAAACAACAACAAUAAAACCCAGAAAAUCCACCAGUGGGAAAUCGCUAGAAGAAAUCAGUGACGCUUGGUCUAGAAAAGUGUUUUAUUUUUAGGCAGCCCCUCUUCACUCUUGGCACAAGAUACAACACCAGAUAUGCCCUUUCAACCUGGCAUCUUCAGGGAAAAUUACUCUGUUAACUCCAGAAAGAAAUUUUAUGAAGGGCUUCAAAUGGUUUUGCUUGGAUGAUUUAUUCCUUUCUGUCACUGACAAUAGAGCUAAUUUGCUUUAUCAAGCCCAGAACACAUGAUUUACUUCUGUACCAGACUUCCAACAGAGGCUAAUGAGAAAGAUCCCUGGCAGGGUUGGUGACUACAGAAAGCUUUCCCUCAGUGGUGCAGGCCUGGAGGAAGGAAGAGGUCUUGCAGGAAAAGCUGGAAACCCUACCUAGACCGCUGAUCCUGCAGAACAAACGCCACCAUCAGUCACUGAAGGAAAGGCAGCAAACUGUCACCCCCAGUGCACAGCUGAGGAAGACCCACUGCAGCUGGAGAUGGAUGGGAGAAAAAAAACCCACCCUCUACACUGCAGAUGAUGCCAGAUAUAAGUCUGACAGCAUACUGGCAUUUCUUCCCUUCUAAUGUCAUAUUGUAGAUCUUUUGCUCUUUUUAAAAAUAAUUUAUUAAUACAUAAAGCUGAAUUACUUCCUGGGCAAUGUAAUUUAAGUUUAGCUCUCAAAUAAAGGGCCAUAUCUUGCCAAGUGAUGUUGUUCUUACUCUUUAGACAAUCGCCUUCUUCACAAUUGCUGUAUAACCCCUUGGGCUUUUACUGUCAUUAUUUUUAAAAGUAUCAAUAAUUUUAAUGUCAAUGGCACAAUGACCAUCUACCUCAUUAUCAGUCUGCAUACUUACCCGAAUUUAUGUGUUCUGUGAUGAAUAUGAAAAUA